rnacentral:rRNA from 1 species
UUAAGCGACUAAGCGUACACGGUGGAUGCCCUGGCAGUCAGAGGCGAUGAAGGACGUGCUAAUCUGCGAUAAGCGUCGGUAAGGUGAUAUGAACCGUUAUAACCGGCGAUUUCCGAAUGGGGAAACCCAGUGUGUUUCGACACACUAUCAUUAACUGAAUCCAUAGGUUAAUGAGGCGAACCGGGGGAACUGAAACAUCUAAGUACCCCGAGGAAAAGAAAUCAACCGAGAUUCCCCCAGUAGCGGCGAGCGAACGGGGAGCAGCCCAGAGCCUGAAUCAGUAUGUGUGUUAGUGGAAGCGUCUGGAAAGGCGCGCGAUACAGGGUGACAGCCCCGUACACAAAAAUGCACAUGCUGUGAGCUCGAUGAGUAGGGCGGGACACGUGGUAUCCUGUCUGAAUAUGGGGGGACCAUCCUCCAAGGCUAAAUACUCCUGACUGACCGAUAGUGAACCAGUACCGUGAGGGAAAGGCGAAAAGAACCCCGGCGAGGGGAGUGAAAAAGAACCUGAAACCGUGUACGUACAAGCAGUGGGAGCACGCUUAGGCGUGUGACUGCGUACCUUUUGUAUAAUGGGUCAGCGACUUAUAUUCUGUAGCAAGGUUAACCGAAUAGGGGAGCCGAAGGGAAACCGAGUCUUAACUGGGCGUUAAGUUGCAGGGUAUAGACCCGAAACCCGGUGAUCUAGCCAUGGGCAGGUUGAAGGUUGGGUAACACUAACUGGAGGACCGAACCGACUAAUGUUGAAAAAUUAGCGGAUGACUUGUGGCUGGGGGUGAAAGGCCAAUCAAACCGGGAGAUAGCUGGUUCUCCCCGAAAGCUAUUUAGGUAGCGCCUCGUGAAUUCAUCUCCGGGGGUAGAGCACUGUUUCGGCAAGGGGGUCAUCCCGACUUACCAACCCGAUGCAAACUGCGAAUACCGGAGAAUGUUAUCACGGGAGACACACGGCGGGUGCUAACGUCCGUCGUGAAGAGGGAAACAACCCAGACCGCCAGCUAAGGUCCCAAAGUCAUGGUUAAGUGGGAAACGAUGUGGGAAGGCCCAGACAGCCAGGAUGUUGGCUUAGAAGCAGCCAUCAUUUAAAGAAAGCGUAAUAGCUCACUGGUCGAGUCGGCCUGCGCGGAAGAUGUAACGGGGCUAAACCAUGCACCGAAGCUGCGGCAGCGACGCUGAUGCGUUGUUGGGUAGGGGAGCGUUCUGUAAGCCUGCGAAGGUGUGCUGUGAGGCAUGCUGGAGGUAUCAGAAGUGCGAAUGCUGACAUAAGUAACGAUAAAGCGGGUGAAAAGCCCGCUCGCCGGAAGACCAAGGGUUCCUGUCCAACGUUAAUCGGGGCAGGGUGAGUCGACCCCUAAGGCGAGGCCGAAAGGCGUAGUCGAUGGGAAACAGGUUAAUAUUCCUGUACUUGGUGUUACUGCGAAGGGGGGACGGAGAAGGCUAUGUUGGCCGGGCGACGGUUGUCCCGGUUUAAGCGUGUAGGCUGGUUUUCCAGGCAAAUCCGGAAAAUCAAGGCUGAGGCGUGAUGACGAGGCACUACGGUGCUGAAGCAACAAAUGCCCUGCUUCCAGGAAAAGCCUCUAAGCAUCAGGUAACAUCAAAUCGUACCCCAAACCGACACAGGUGGUCAGGUAGAGAAUACCAAGGCGCUUGAGAGAACUCGGGUGAAGGAACUAGGCAAAAUGGUGCCGUAACUUCGGGAGAAGGCACGCUGAUAUGUAGGUGAGGUCCCUCGCGGAUGGAGCUGAAAUCAGUCGAAGAUACCAGCUGGCUGCAACUGUUUAUUAAAAACACAGCACUGUGCAAACACGAAAGUGGACGUAUACGGUGUGACGCCUGCCCGGUGCCGGAAGGUUAAUUGAUGGGGUUAGCGCAAGCGAAGCUCUUGAUCGAAGCCCCGGUAAACGGCGGCCGUAACUAUAACGGUCCUAAGGUAGCGAAAUUCCUUGUCGGGUAAGUUCCGACCUGCACGAAUGGCGUAAUGAUGGCCAGGCUGUCUCCACCCGAGACUCAGUGAAAUUGAACUCGCUGUGAAGAUGCAGUGUACCCGCGGCAAGACGGAAAGACCCCGUGAACCUUUACUAUAGCUUGACACUGAACAUUGAGCCUUGAUGUGUAGGAUAGGUGGGAGGCUUAGAAGUGUGGACGCCAGUCUGCAUGGAGCCGACCUUGAAAUACCACCCUUUAAUGUUUGAUGUUCUAACGUUGACCCGUAAUCCGGGUUGCGGACAGUGUCUGGUGGGUAGUUUGACUGGGGCGGUCUCCUCCUAAAGAGUAACGGAGGAGCACGAAGGUUGGCUAAUCCUGGUCGGACAUCAGGAGGUUAGUGCAAUGGCAUAAGCCAGCUUGACUGCGAGCGUGACGGCGCGAGCAGGUGCGAAAGCAGGUCAUAGUGAUCCGGUGGUUCUGAAUGGAAGGGCCAUCGCUCAACGGAUAAAAGGUACUCCGGGGAUAACAGGCUGAUACCGCCCAAGAGUUCAUAUCGACGGCGGUGUUUGGCACCUCGAUGUCGGCUCAUCACAUCCUGGGGCUGAAGUAGGUCCCAAGGGUAUGGCUGUUCGCCAUUUAAAGUGGUACGCGAGCUGGGUUUAGAACGUCGUGAGACAGUUCGGUCCCUAUCUGCCGUGGGCGCUGGAGAACUGAGGGGGGCUGCUCCUAGUACGAGAGGACCGGAGUGGACGCAUCACUGGUGUUCGGGUUGUCAUGCCAAUGGCACUGCCCGGUAGCUAAAUGCGGAAGAGAUAAGUGCUGAAAGCAUCUAAGCACGAAACUUGCCCCGAGAUGAGUUCUCCCUGACCCUUUAAGGGUCCUGAAGGAACGUUGAAGACGACGACGUUGAUAGGCCGGGUGUGUAAGCGCAGCGAUGCGUUGAGCUAACCGGUACUAAUGAACCGUGAGGCUUAACCUU